rnacentral:rRNA from 1 species
UACGUAGGUGACCAGCGUUGUCCGGAUUUACUGGGCGUAAAGAGCGCGCAGGCGGUCGUUCAAGUCGAGUGUGAAAGCCCCCGGCUCAACUGGGGAGGGUCACUCGAUACUGAUCGACUUGAAGGCAGGAGAGGGAAGUGGAAUUCCCGGUGUAGUGGUGAAAAUGCGUAGAUAUCGGGAGGAACACCAGUGGCGAAGGCGACUACCUGGCCUGUUCUUGACGCUGAGGCGCGAAAGCUAGGGGAGCAAACGGGG